GAUGAACGCUGGCGGCGUGCCUAAUACAUGCAAGUCGAGCGAACGGACGAGAAGCUUGCUUCUCUGAUGUUAGCGGCGGACGGGUGAGUAACACGUGGAUAACCUACCUAUAAGACUGGGAUAACUUCGGGAAACCGGAGCUAAUACCGGAUAAUAUCUUGAACCGCAUGGUUCAAAGGUGAAAGACGGUCUUGCUGUCACUUAUAGAUGGAUCCGCGCUGCAUUAGCUAGUUGGUAAGGUAACGGCUUACCAAGGCAACGAUGCAUAGCCGACCUGAGAGGGUGAUCGGCCACACUGGAACUGAGACACGGUCCAGACUCCUACGGGAGGCAGCAGUAGGGAAUCUUCCGCAAUGGGCGAAAGCCUGACGGAGCAACGCCGCGUGAGUGAUGAAGGUCUUCGGAUCGUAAAACUCUGUUAUUAGGGAAGAACAUAUGUGUAAGUAACUGUGCACAUCUUGACGGUACCUAAUCAGAAAGCCACGGCUAACUACGUG
rnacentral:rRNA from 1 species